AGCGAACGCUGGCGGCAGGCCUAACACAUGCAAGUCGAACGGACCCUUCGGGGUUAGUGGCGGACGGGUGAGUAACACGUGGGAACGUGCCUUUAGGUUCGGAAUAGCUCCUGGAAACGGGUGGUAAUGCCGAAUGUGCCCUUCGGGGGAAAGAUUUAUCGCCUUUAGAGCGGCCCGCGUCUGAUUAGCUAGUUGGUGAGGGAACGGCUCACCAAGGCGACGAUCAGUAGCUGGUCUGAGAGGAUGACCAGCCACACUGGGACUGAGACACGGCCCAGACUCCGACGGGAGGCAGCAGUGGGGAAUCUUGCGCAAUGGGCGAAAGCCUGACGCAGCCAUGCCGCGUGAAUGAUGAAGGUCUUAGGAUUGUAAAAUUCUUUCACCGGGGACGAUAAUGACGGUACCCGGAGAAGAAGCCCCGGCUAACUUCGUG
rnacentral:rRNA from 1 species